rnacentral:rRNA from 1 species
GUCUACAGCCAUGUUCCCCUGAACAAGCCCGAUCCCGUCUGAUCUCAAAAGCUAAGCAGGGUUGGGCUUGAUUAGUACUUGGAUUGGAGACCACCUAAGAAAAUCAGGUGCUGUAGGCA